UGGGGAAUUUUGGACAAUGGGGGCAACCCUGAUCCAGCCAUGCCGCGUGAGUGAAGAAGGCCUUCGGGUUGUAAAGCUCUUUCGGUGGGGACGAAAUGGCCUCGGCUAAUACCUGAGGUCGAUGACGGUACUCACAGAAGAAGCACCGGCUAACUACGUGCCAGCAGCCGCGGUAAUACGUAGGGUGCAGGCGUUAAUCGGAAUUACUGGGCGUAAAGGGUGCGCAGGCGGUUUUGUAAGUCAGGCGUGAAAUCCCCGAGCUUAACUUGGGAAUGGCGCUUGAGACUGCAAGGCUAGAGUGUGUCAGAGGGGGGUGGAAUUCCACGUGUAGCAGUGAAAUGCGUAGAGAUGUGGAGGAACACCGAUGGCGAAGGCAGCCCCCUGGGAUAACACUGACGCUCGGGCACGAAAGCGUGGGGAGCAAACAGGAUUAGAUACCCCCGUAGUCC
rnacentral:rRNA from 1 species